AUGAGGAAAAAGAAAAUAAUAGAGCAUCCAAGCCCCACUCCACUCCUGCUACUCUGCAAUGGCUGGAGGAGAACUAUGAGAUUGCAGAGGGGGUCUGCAUCCCUCGCAGUGCCCUCUAUAUGCAUUACCUGGAUUUCUGCGAGAAGAAUGAUACCCAACCUGUCAAUGCUGCCAGCUUUGGAAAGAUCAUAAGGCAGCAGUUUCCUCAGUUAACCACCAGAAGACUCGGGACCCGAGGACAGUCAAAGUAAGCACCGGACGGCCAUUCCACCUGCAGAGCGCACAUCUAUGGGCCUCGAGACAGGCCACACCCUUGGCUCUUUAUCCUGAGCUCUGUCUGCAGGCCUGGCAGAAGUCUGUGCCUAGAGGGAAUAUGGAAGAGCUUUAUGACGACCAGGGCCCCUCUCUCAGGACUCCUGAAAGAGAGGUUGUCCAAAAGCCCAAGACAAGUUGGCUCUGCUGCUUUAAGGAAUCUGAUUUUGUACCACCCUGCUUUUAGGCAUAUUUUGUAAAAUAGUCUUGGGCAUCAUUGAAAGGAUUGCCUUGCGGCCUCUUGGAUGAUCACCAGGUUAUCUGGACUGUUUUGCUGAGCAAACUCUGCUCUGAUAGUAUGCAGUAGACCAGAGAAGCAAAACUGUACUAUUCCCUGCAUGGGAGAUGGGGCAGAAACGUCCAGCUGCACCAUGGUCCAUGAGGGUUCACGGCUUCCCAUUCAUCAGUUUCAUCAAGCAACCAACCAACUCAUGCUUUAUACUUUCUGUGUGUCACAUAUGUGGUGCUAGGUACUGGGAACACAGGAGCAAAUCAGUUGCUGCCCUCAUGGAGCAUAGAUUCCGGUGGGAAACAGACAAAACAGAGAAUCAGAUUGUGACAAAGUUGUAGCAGAGAGCAACAAAAGAGGAAUGGCCAGGGAAGGUCUUUCAGAGGAGGUUACAUUUAAGUAAAGACUAGGGGAGUGCAGAAGGCUGAGACACUUGUCUGCUAGGUGUGAGUCAGUGGGAAGGGAAUCUCUUCCUGUACUGCUCGACCUUCAUUAAAAUCUGCAUUUAUAGGACUUGCCUCUAAGGAUGUUUCAAAAUUUGUUGGACGAUAAUAGGUGUUCCAUGAAGAAGAGCAGCAGGCCCUAUAAGUUUGGUUAACACUAAGUUUAAACAGUUUCCUUUACUGCAAGACUUCUCAGAACCCUUAUUAUGCUAAUGUACAAGGUGACUCCACUAGAGGGUGCCUUAUUAUGCAGCAUUUCUAAGCAUUUUGACCACGUUGAGCAGGUCAGCACAUAGUGACCUAUAAAACACUGUAACUUUUUAGAAAGGCAACCAUAUAGGACUUUUAAGACUUGUCUUGAAGGAUGUGUCAAAAGCAUGUCCAGUGCUCUCACCCUGGGCCAAACCCCUGUCCCUCACCAGCUCCUCUCAUCCCUGGGCAGCACAUUCCCAUCCUCCAAGGGUGGGUUUGAUUUUGGAGCUAAGGUAGGGAAAGAAAAUGGAUGAUCGAACUGGGAAAAACCCUUUUUUGGUAUUCUGAAAAUAAUGAGACUAAUUUUUUUGGUGUAGCUCAGAAGCUUUUGAACCAGUCUCUAAAGGGAUUUCCAGAAGACUGUUGAACAAAGGACCUCUUGGAAUAAAUUCCUAAUAAUUUUCCAAGAUGACUAUUCUG
rnacentral:sRNA from 1 species